AAUUGUUAUUUUGGCAGAAUAGUGUAUUAAAUUUAGAAUUUAAAAAUGUAUUUACAUACAAAUAA
rnacentral:tRNA from 1 species